rnacentral:lncRNA from 1 species
GUUUGCAUCAUGGGGGAUCCUAAUGGAAAAUUGUGUGUAAGUAAAAUAAAAUCUCUUAUGUCUGAGAUUUUUAUUUCAUGUACAUUAAUUAUAACCCAUGGAUCAAAGUUCUGUAGGGUAUAAUGUUUUUGACUUUGUCCAUCAGUCCUGUUCUAGUCAUCCCAACUCCUCUGAAACCACUCAACAGAAUUUUAUAAAACUCUGUAGAUA